GAUGAACGCUAGCGGCAGGCUUAAUACAUGCAAGUCGAGGGGCAGCAGGGGUGUAGCAAUACACUUGCUGGCGACCGGCAAACGGGUGCGGAACACGUACGCAACUUACCCUGAACUGGGGGAUAGCCCGGGGAAACCCGGAUUAAUACCCCGUAACACUGUGAGGUGGCAUCACCUUAUAGUUAUAGCUCCGGUGGUUCAGGAUGGGCGUGCGGCUGAUUAGGUAGUUGGUUGGGGUGAUGGCCCACCAAGCCUACGAUCAGUAACUGGUGUGAGAGCACGACCAGUCACACGGGCACUGAGACACGGGCCCGACUCCUACGGGAGGCAGCAGUAAGGAAUAUUGGGCAAUGGAGGCAACUCUGACCCAGCCAUGCCGCGUGGAGGAUGAAGGCCCUCUGGGUUGUAAACUUCUUUUACCUGGGACGAAACCUUUCUUUUCUAAGGGAGUUGACGGUACCAGGGGAAUAAGCACCGGCUAACUCCGUGCCAGCAGCCGCAGUAAAAC
rnacentral:rRNA from 1 species